GAUGAAGAACGUAGCGAAAUGCGAUACUUGGUGUGAAUUGCAGAAUCCCGUGAACCAUCGAGUCUUUGAACGCAAGUUGCGCCCGAAGCCAUUAGGCCGAGGGCACGCCUGCCUGGGCGUCACACGUCGUUGCCCCCCCAUCUACUCCUUCGGGAUUGCGGGGGGCGGAUGAUGGCCUCCCGUGCGCCUCGUCGCGCGGUUGGCCUAAAUGCCAAGUCCUCGGCGACGCACGCCACGACAAUCGGUGGUGGCGAAACCUCGGUUGCCUGUCGUGUGCGGUCGUCGCGCAUCGAGGGCUCGAAAAAAUUGCCGGGCUUCGGCUCGACUUUCAACGCGACCCCAGGUCAGGCGGGGUUACCCGCUGAAUUUAAGCAUAUCAAUAAGCGGAGGA
rnacentral:misc_RNA from 1 species